rnacentral:rRNA from 1 species
UACGAGAGGCCCAAACGUUAUUCGGAAUUACUGGGCUUAAAGAGUUCGUAGGCGGCGCAGCAAGUAGGGUGUGAAAGCCCUCGGCUUAACCGAGGAAUUGCGCUCUAAACUACUGUGCUUGAGGAACCUAGAGGUGAGCAGAACAGAUGGUGGAGCGGUGAAAUGCGUUGAUAUCAUCUGGAAUACCGGUGGCGAAGGCGGCAUCCUGGACCGAGAUUGACACUGAUGAGCGAAAGCUAGGGGAGCAAACGGG